rnacentral:lncRNA from 1 species
GGAUUACCAGAAGAGAAGGCUGGCUUUCAAAGAAGCAGAGGAACGAGAGACCAAAUUGUCAGUAUUCAAUGACUGUGAAGAAAGCAAGGGAGUUCUACAAAAACACCUACUUCUGUGUCACUACACCAAAUCCUUUGACUGUAAGGCUCCUAACAAAAUGUGGCAAGUCCUCAAAGAGAUGGGAAUACCAGAUUAUCAUGUCUCUAAGCAACCUGUAUUUGGGCCAAGAGGCAACAAUUAGAAACAAACAUGAAACACCCUACUGGUUUAAGAUUGGAAAAGAAUCCAAUAAGGAUGUAUAUUGUCACCUUAUUUAUUUAACUUUUAUGCAAAAAAAAAAAAAAAGUCAGGGUGGAUGAAUCAAAAAACCAGAAUUAAGGUUGCCAGAAGAAAUAUCAACAAUCUAAAAUAUGCAGGGGAAAAAAGCUGGCUUGAAGCUAAUAUAAAAAAUCCUAAGAUCUUGGCAACUGGUCCUAUUAGUUCCUGGCAAGGGAGAAGAAACGGAAACAGUGGCAGAUUUUAUAUUUUUCAGCUCAAAGAUCACUUCAGAGAGAGAUAACAGCCAUAAAAUUAAAAGACACCUGCUCCUUGGAAGGAAAGCUAUGGCAGAUCCAGAGAGCAUACUAAAAAGCAGAGACAUAAUCAGCUUGCCCAUAAAAGUCCAUAUAGUCAAAGCUAUGGAUUUUCCAGUAGCAAUAUAGAACUGUGGUAUUUGGGCUACAAGGUAAGCUAUGGUCUAUGGGGUCAGGAAGUUGGAUAGGACUGAAUAACUAAGCAGAAAAAAAUACAUUAUAAUAAGAAUAAACUAAUAAAAUUGUUUCUGGCAAGCCUGUGCCUAAACUUUAGAGUACAGUCUAAUUUCUCUUCCACAAAAUUUAACGAGGCAUAAAGCCCCUGCUUGAAAAUUUCCAUCAAUGGGGAAAAUUUGCUACUACAUGUCACAGGUCAGCUCACUUUUUUUGAUGCUUGUAAUUAUCACGAAGUUUUUCCUUUAAAAGUUUUUAUCUGCUUCUUUGCAAUUUUUACCAAUGGUUCCUGUCUCUGCUCUUUGAAGCAAAGCAAAACAGAAAUGAUUCUAAAUCCAAGUCCUUCAAAUACUUGAAGACAGUGAUUAUAUCUCUCCAAAUCUUCCUGCAAUUAGGCUAAGUAAUUCCCAGUACCUUCAACCAGCUCAUGGUCAUGAAUUCUCUUACCAUUCUGAUCAAAACUGUUUAUCACUAUCCUUCCUAAAAUAUGGUGUCCACAUUUGAACACAUGACUACUCCAGAUGGGGUCUGACCCAUACAGUAUGAUUAUCAUCUCCUGUGAGUUGGACACAAUUUCACUUAAUGAAACUUAAGAUAUUACUUGCCUUUUACAGAGAAAGUCCAAAGGAGCGGGGAAGAAAAACUAUCUACUUAAUAGUUUUGAAUCUUUCCUAAGUUUGAAAAUGACACCUUUCAGAAAUCAUGACAAUCAUCAGGGAUGAUGACCGGCUUCAUACUUGUUUGAUUAAUGGGGUGGGGAUGGGGGGGGUCUAGAAAAUAG